rnacentral:rRNA from 1 species
UACGUAGGGUGCGAGCGUUGUCCGGAAUUACUGGGCGUAAAGAGCUUGUAGGUGGUUUGUCGCGUUGUUCGUGAAAUCUCACGGCUUAACUGUGAGCGUGCGGGCGAUACGGGCAGACUGGAGUACUGCAGGGGAGACUGGAAUUCCUGGUGUAGCGGUGGAAUGCGCAGAUAUCAGGAGGAACACCGGUGGCGAAGGCGGGUCUCUGGGCAGUAACUGACGCUGAGGAGCGAAAGCGUGGGGGGCGAACAGG